CACUGCGCAUGCGCUAUCGGACAAGUUGAGGAUCUCAUUUGACUUCUUGUUAGCCAGCUGGAAGCUGCCAGUGCCAGUGGAUAGUGCAAUAACGGAUCAACUCCUGGGGAAGUGUGGCUGUAAAAACAGGGGAUUCGACAUGUUAAUUUCCAAAUAGUUUGUGACAUGAGUAGAAAAACUGCCUCCGCUCGCAGUGUCAAAUACAACAAACGAAAGACCUUGCUACGAAGUUGCUUGAACCGGAGGUCAUGGCACAGCGUCGUAACGUUGUAACUUGUGGAGGCUUAUGAGCGAAGUUCCCUUGAGGCCACAAGAUUGCACGAAAACAAGAAGGGAGAAUGAAGGGAUUCAUAAUCGUCCGGAGUAGGACUCUUCUUAUCUGUACAGUAUGGCAACACAGAUGAUAACAUUUAAGGCUUAAAAAUCAGUUGAAACAUUCUAUAUAACAGUAUGAUAUUUUCUUAUGUAUAUUGUAUAUUUGUAGUAUAAGGUUACAAAAGCCUAUUCUACCAAGAGUUACAAACUAAAAACUAUAUAAAUAAAGCACUCAAUUUACACUCCUUUUGGCCAUAAGAAGAGAAGGAGUGUAAAGUAAAAGAAGAAAAAGAAAAGUCAAGACAAUAUAGUUGGGAGAAAUUCUAAAGGAACUUGUGUCUUUCACCUACAGUUUAUCAUGAAAGUGUUUACACUGUUUUUCAGGAAUAAAGAGCAGAACAACUAAAUAUAAAGAAAGGUAAAUAAAAUGAGAAAAAAAUGUAGUAUUCAUUAAUGCCUGCACUUACACAGACUGACUUUCUUCUUCACAUCGACCCACUUCAAAAUGAACGAUGAAAAUACCACGAAACCAGCAGAUAACCCACAACAUGCAAACUUUUCCUCUUCAAUUUCCUUUAAAAAGAAGAUAGCAGAUGAAGAAAAAAAAAGUACGAAUCAAUCGCAGAAAAGGUUAACCGACGUCGACUUUCCAAAGUCGAGCGGAAAAUACC